UAGGGAAUCUUCCACAAUGGGCGCAAGCCUGAUGGAGCAACACCGCGUGAGUGAAGAAGGGUUUCGGCUCGUAAAGCUCUGUUGUUAGAGGAGAACGUGCGUGAGAGCAACUGUUCACGCAGUGACGGUAUCUAACCAGAAAGUCACGGCUAACUACGUGCCA
rnacentral:rRNA from 1 species